UACGUAGGGGGCAAGCGUUGUCCGGAAUCAUUGGGCGUAAAGCGCGUGUAGGCGGUCCGAUUAGUCGGCUGUGAAAGUCAAGGGCUCAACCCUUGAAUGCCGGUCGAUACUGUCGGACUAGAGUCCGGAAGAGGCAAGUGGAAUUCCCGGUGUAGCGGCGAAAUGCGCAGAUAUCAGGAGGAACACCGGUGGCGAAGGCGGGUCUCUGGGCCGAUACUGACGCUGAGGAGCGAAAGCGUGGGGAGCGAACAGG
rnacentral:rRNA from 1 species